rnacentral:tRNA from 1 species
GCCUUGGUGGCUCAGUCGGUCAAGUGUCAGACUUCAGCCAAGGUCGUGAUCUCAUGGUUUGUGAGUUCAAGUCCCACCUCAGGCU